UACGUAGGGUGCAAGCGUUGUCCGGAAUUAUUGGGCGUAAAGAGCUCGUAGGCGGUUUGUCGCGUCUGCUGUGAAAACUCGGGGCUUAACCUCCGGGCCUGCAGUGGGUACGGGCAGACUAGAGUGCGGGUAGGGGAGACUGGAAUUCCCGGUGAGCGGUGAAAUGCGCAGAUAUCGGGAGGAACACCGGUGGCGAAGGCGGCGUGCGUG
rnacentral:rRNA from 1 species